rnacentral:lncRNA from 1 species
GGGCUGGCUGCCAGGGCUGGCGGAGGGAGAUGUGGGCUGGAAAUAAACUCAUCGUGUUUGCUUACAGCUUCUUCCCCCCACCUCACCGGUGAGUCAGAUGGCUUCUCACCCCACAUUUUGCUCUUACCCUCUUUUCUCUUCAGGGGUGGGGGUGGGGUGGAGGAUGCUGUCAGGUUUAAAAUACACCCUCAAAUUAUACGUAUUUGUAUGCCCAUAUACAACAGGGACUUGUUCUUUCUUUAAUGCAAUACAGAAUUAUUUUUGGCUUUUUCAGGUUCAUUCUGUUUUAAGUCAUCCUUGGCUAGGAAGUGAGCGCCAGGAGUUGAGAGAGUGAGAUCUCAAGUCCCCACCCUGCUCCUUAGUAACUGUGGCAUUUGGGGCAAGGCAGUUCACCUCUGAAAGCUUCUUUCUCAGCUCUCGGCCUCCCUUGGGCAAGGCCUUCUUUGUAGCCCCGGAGUAUGACCCUUGACCUUCAUUCCCCAGGCUUGUCCUGACAGUGGGUUAGGUCUGUUUUAUAAAUGUUUUGGAAACGUGUGCCAUUCCUGGGAGGGGUACUUCUCCCUAGUUUAUCUUCUCCACCUCCACUCCCAUCUGUUUCUCCGAAUUCUUCACAGUUACUCAGCCGUGUCUGUGAAUGAAGUGUUGGGAACCGGAGACAGGCCAUCUCUAUCUGGUUUUCAGGAUGCACUAUCUCCAGAAUGCCACUCACAGCAUCUCUGUAUCUGCUGCUUCCCAGAGGUGGUUCAUAAAUUCCCAAUGUGUUUGUUCGUCACGUGGUGAAAUCCACCAUUUCUUGCUUUAGCCACAUUUAGGUAUCCAGUGCAGUGACCUCAAGUAUGUUACAGUGCUGUGGAAUCAGCUCCUGCGCCAUCUCUAGAACCUAU